rnacentral:rRNA from 1 species
UGAGGAAUAUUGGUCAAUGGACGAAAGUCUGAACCAGCCAUGCCGCGUGAAGGAAUAAGGCCCUAUGGGUCGUAAACUUCUUUUGUAUGUGAGCAAUAAGGUCCACGUGUGGACCGAUGAGAGUAGCAUACGAAUAAGCAUCGGCUAACUCCGUGCCAGCAGCCGCGGUAAUACGGAGGAUGCAAGCGUUAUCCGGAUUCAUUGGGUUUAAAGGGUGCGUAGGCGGCCGAGUAAGUCAGCGGUGAAAGACCGGGGCUCAACCCUGGAAGUGCCGUUGAUACUGUUUGGCUGGAAUGAUCCCGCCGCGGGAGG